rnacentral:sRNA from 1 species
CGUGGUGCUUGGGUGAAGAGCAAGGCCAAAGCUGUGCAGACAGGGCUCCUUGCUGCUGCUCUGCUGCCUGCGCCACAGUUCCCGGGUAACAGACACAGGGACUGGGAACCUCCUAGCAGGUUCUUGGUUGCUCUGCUGCCCUCAUCUAAGUGGCUGAAUUUUGUGUGGACUCCAUGCUGGAGAGCAGGGCCAGGGGCCUUGCUGGCAGUGACAGCCCCACAGUGACGAUAGAGCAGGGCCAGGGGCCUUGCUGGCAGUGACAGCCCCACAGUGACGAUAGAGGGGGAGGACUUUAGGGGGCCCCACCCUAGCGGCUCUCUCUACCCUUCCUGUAGAGAAAAAAGAGUGCCGGCGGGACCACCGCCCACCGUGUGCUCAGGAGGCGCCCCGCAACAUGGUGCACCCCAACGUGAUCUGUGAUGGCUGCAAUGGGCCCGUGGUAGGAACCCGCUACAAGUGCAGUGUCUGCCCAGACUACGACUUGUGUAGCGUCUGUGAGGGAAAGGGCUUGCACCGGGGGCACACCAAGCUCGCAUUCCCCAGCCCCUUCGGGCACCUGUCUGAGGGCUUCUCACACAACCGCUGGCUCCGGAAGGUGAAACACGGGCACUUCGGGUGGCCAGGAUGGGAAAUGGGCCCACCAGGAAACUGGAGCCCACGUCCUCCUCGUGCAGGGGAUGCCCGCCCUGGUCCCACGG